rnacentral:lncRNA from 1 species
AUGGCAAGGGGACUUUGGUGGGGACACUGUAGCGGAGGAAUGCAGCCCCCUGGAGCAGCAAGCAGCCCCCAGCCCUGCAGCUCUGCACCACUCCUGCUGUGUCCCCCACGUCCCUGUGCCUGGCAGUGGAGUGUCCUGUGUCCCUUGUCCUACAGGUGCUUGGCUGUGGGAUGCCCUGUGUCUCCCACACACACACCAUGGAUCCCCCACAGGGUCCCCCCUUGUGUCCCCCACCCCCAUACACGUCCUCUCACCUCGCCCCAUCCUCAGGGCAGUUCCCAUGUCCCCACAGUGCUCCCAAGCGUGUUGGAGGGCACCCAGGCACGGGACACCCAGUGCCUGACUCCCAAGAAGACAGUCAGCAUCCUCUGUGCCCCCACCAUAAAACCAGCACCAAGCACUCCUGCAACACCCACCCCACGCCCUGGAGCCUGGGAAGGGUUGGGGCAGGAGGUGGGGCUGGGAUGCCAGGACACUGGGGUCCCCAGUGUCCCAUUCCUCAGUUUCCCCCCACCAGUGAAGAGUUGCAGGAACACACACUGUGCAGUGGUGGUCCAGGCCUGGCUCUGUGCCUGCUGCACCACCUGCGCCCAUAACCCAGCACUGCCGCCCCCAGCCCAUAGCCCCCCAGCACCCCACAGCUACCCCUGGCCCACAGGACACCUCCAAGGGGACAUCAGCUACGUGGGGCAGAUUAAUUUGGUGUCCCCACCUGCUUCCCACAGGAAUGUGUCACACAUGCCCCCCAUCAGGGGCUGUGCUGCUCCCGUGGCCUGUCCCCAGUGUCCCCACAGGCACUGUCCUGCUCAGGGACAGUCCAGUGUCCUCCCUGUUCCCUGCACCACUCCUGGGCACCCCGCGGGACAUGUGCAUCAGUGCUGGGGUGCACAGAGCACAAGCCCCCAGUGGGGUGUGGGACUGGGGCUGAGCCAAGUGGGACAGGGCCACUCAGAGGCAUCGGCCACAUGGCUGCCAGCAGCAUGGCAGAUGCAGGGCUGGAGACUGGGUGCUGCCGGAACACUGUGUCCUGCCAGCACGUUCCUGCCUGAGUCACUGCUGGCUCCUGCCCGGGCAGGUCUGUGGCCACAGCCCCACAGCUGCCCCACGCUGGCGCCACGCCAGGCCCACAGCAGCCCCACUCCACACCAGCCCUGCAGCAGGGACAGCCCCGGACACAGACCCAAACCCUGCCUCCCGCCCCAAUCGGUGCAUAUGCAGAUGUAUAAGUGUCCACACCCCCACCCGCCCCCGUGUCCCCCCACCUUAUAA